GAUGAAGAACGCAGCGAAAUGCGAUAAGUAGUGUGAAUUGCAGAAUUCAGUGAAUCAUCGAAUCUUUGAACGCACAUUGCGCCCCUUGGUAUUCCAUGUGGCAUGCCUGUUCGAGCGUCAUUUGUACCUUCAAGCUUUGCUUGGUGUUGGGUGUUUGUCUCGCCUUUGCGUGUAGACUCGCCUUAAAAUAAUUGGCAGCCGGCGUAUUGAUUUCGGAGCGCAGUACAUCUCGCGCUUUGCACUCAUAACGACAGCGUCCAAAAGUACAUUUUACACUCUUGACCUCGGAUCAGGUAGGGAUACCCGCUGAACUUAAGCAUAUCAAUAAGCGGAGGA
rnacentral:misc_RNA from 1 species